UACGGAGGAUCCAAGCGUUAUCCGGAUUUAUUGGGCUUAAAGGGUGCGUAGGCGGCUUAUUAAGUCAGGGGUGAAAGACGGUGGCUCAACCAUCGUAGUGCCCUUGAUACUGUCCGUCUGGAGGGAGGUAGGGGCGUGCGGAACUUCCGGUGGAGCGGUGAAAUGCGUAGAUAUCGGAAGGAACACCGGUGGCGAAAGCGGCGCGCUGGACCUCUUCUGACGCUGAGGCACGAAAGCCAGGGGAGCAAACGGG
rnacentral:rRNA from 1 species